rnacentral:sRNA from 1 species
AACACUUGGAGACCCGAAGUCACAUAUGGAGGGAUUCUAAAGAUCUCCCACUAUGGUCUUUUUUUCUUCAACCGGUAUUUGGAAAAAAUUUGUGGAGGUAUUACUCAGGUGCAAACAGGUACAGUAAAAUGGUUUAAUGCAGAAAAAGGUUUUGGUUUUAUUGAAGUUGAAGGCGGCAAUGAUGUAUUCGUACAUUUUAGCGCUAUCCAAGGAGAUGGAUUCAAAACCCUGGACGAAGGACAACGAGUUGAGUUCAACGUAGUUGAAGGUAACCGCGGUCCCCAAGCCGAGAACGUAGUGAAACUGUAAUCUAAAUUGAAUAAAAACUGCUCCAAUAGGGGCAGUUUUUCUC